UACGUAGGGUGCAAGCGUUAAUCGGAAUUAUUGGGCGUAAAGCGCGCGCAGGCGGUCCUUUAAGUCUGAUGUGAAAGCCCACGGCUCAACCGUGGAGGUCAUUGGAAACUGGGGACUUGAGUGCAGAAGAGGAAAGCGGAAUUCCACGUGUAGCGGUGAAAUGCGUAGAGAUGUGGAGGAACACCAGUGGCGAAGGCGGCUUCUGGUCUGUAACUGACGCUGAGGCGCGAAAGCGUGGGGAGCAAACAGGA
rnacentral:rRNA from 1 species